UGAUUGGUUACAGGUUGUCCUCUACAACAUAUAAAUACACGCCACAGUUAUUUCUCUAUACUUCACAUGUUCAAUGACUGUUAUGGCUUGUAAGUGCUGUGUAGUGGGGCUGUUCCUGGUUUUGCUGUUCUGGGAUGUUUAUUGCUAUCCCUAUCAACAAGCCUACAGGUUGGGCCAAGUGUACCCAAGAACUUCAACUCUAUAUGGUCCACUUGUCAAACCCAGCCAAAUGAACACCUACACACGUUACUUCCUUAAACAUGAACCCAUUUCUUCUGGUUCAAGCCUCCCUGUUCCUGUUGACUCUAGGAGUCCUAUUGAUGGGGGCUCCAGUCUUGGUAUUCAGAGUUUUGCUCCCCUGAAGACUACUGCUUCCCCUUACCUCGUUCCUCAGGCUCCUGAGCAGACUGGAUGUCUUUCUGCAGGAGUAGCUUACCCUAGUUUUCUUCCUUUACCUCCACUGUGUGAGUCUUCACCAAGUAACUUCCAGGCAGGGGAAAUCUCUCACUUUGAGAGUGUUUAUGAACAUGGCAACAGUCAGAGUGAGUUUGAAGACCAACGGUUCCCACUUCCGUUGGUUAUUGGACCAGAACCUAGCCAGGAAGGUCUUGAAGCUAAUUAUGGGGAGCUGUUCGUCACUAGGAAGUUCCCUGCUGGCAUCAUCACCCAUUUAAGAACCAAAUAUGAGCAUGGAAAUGACCAAUGGAGCUCAGCUGGUUUCGUCAGGUAUCGUCCUGCUCCCGUCCAAUACCGACCACUAUAUCCUCAUGCCCACCGGAAGUGACCGGUAGGAGAAGGUUCUGUGCUGACCUGGAUCCUGCUGUUUCAUGGCUGCGUUGAUUGCUAAUAAACCUACUUGAGAAAUGUA